UGUUUCUCUACAAAUAAAAUGAUUUAGUGGCUAAGAAGCAUGGACUCCAAAGCCAGAUUGCCUGCAUUCAAAUUCUGGAUUUACUACUGAUUCAGUGGAAGCCUACAGUAAAGAAACCUGUUUACCUCGGAGUUUCUCACACUUGGAAACCUCUUUGAACAUAUGUCUAUAAGCGUCUUGUGCAGGUGGAAGAAGUGAACUACAUGAUGACCAGACUGUAGCCAUGACAUAAGCUGCCACAAUUCCAAGAAUUGGCCUCAAAGAAAUGGAAACAAACCGACCCUGGAACUGAAGAUUAACUGUACCUAAAACAAUCGAGAUGAUGCUGGUCAGACCACCAAUGACCAAUUUCAAGAUGACUGUCAGAGCUGACUGUGCUGUUUCUGCACGUAGCCCCCUCCCUCUGUCUAUAAAGCUCUUGCCCCCUGAUUGUCAGGGUGGAAGUGGGCCUUUGGACAGGCGUGUGCCCUGCCCCUCCCCCGCUCCCCCCACCACGGUUGCCGGCCUCUGAAAUAAAGCAAACUUUCCUUUGCUACCAACACUUGCCUCUCGAAAACUGGCUUUCGAGCGGUGAGCCGCCAGACCUGGGUUCGGUAACAGAUUUUGGCGUGGUGAGCCAGCCAGGGUAACACUUGUACAUGCUUAAAAAUAUGUGCAAGUGUGUCUAUGGGAUAAAUUUCUAAAAGUAAAAUUUCUGGGACAAAGGAUGUAUAAAUUUU